UAACAAGGUUCGGACAUAGCAUGGAUUGACAAACUGAUAGCCCUUCCUUGAUUCUAUGGGUGGUGGUGUGUGGUUGUUCUCAGUUGGUGGGGAAAAUUAUCUGGUUGAAUGAGGCUCUCAACCUGCGCUACCCAAAGCCACCCCCCAAGGCUAGCUACUUAGAGCGGCUAUCAUCGUUUAGGCGACAGAAGUUGAGGUAGUACCAUGUCAAUGGUGCCCUAAGAUGUUCUAG
rnacentral:ncRNA from 1 species